rnacentral:lncRNA from 1 species
AAAAAAAAAAAAAAAAAGCAGGCUGGAGAGACAGAGCUGUGUCAGCCUCAGCUCUGAUGGAGUCGGGCUAUCAUUUUGUCUAAUUGUUUGGUUUUUUUUUUUUUUCUUUUCAAUCCUCCCUCCCUCCCUCCCUUGAGAACCGGUUGACUGACUGAGCUGGCUUGGUCGUCUAAGCCAAGCCUCACCCCCUCUGUCCUAUACCAUAUCUUUACUAUAUAGCACUUACUGCACGGUGACUCCUGUGGCAGCUGCAGAGCCUGCUGCCCCCAGCUCCUGAAUUCCUAAGUGGGAAACUAAACCCAGACAGAAGCUGAUCCGAUUUUGGGAACUAUGGCGGGCAAUUCAUCCUUUAAAAGGAGGCACAGAAUGCACACAGCUCACCUCUCCGUCGUCGGUGACGUACGGAACACAGGACUGAUCCACGUGCUUAGGAUUCGCUGGUCUGAUGCGCUCAUUUUCCAUUUAUCCACUAAUAUUUCUCUUUGACCUAACGGUUCCAAUCACACCGGUUUUAAACGUCACUGGUCUUGUUACUGUCCUAAGGCGCUGCAAAGUAGUACUUUUUUAUCAGUUGUUCUAUGUUUAUAACUGAGAGUCUUCAAGAAAGAGCUCUGACACUAUUCAGCAAUAUAAACAGAAUGAAGAGCCAAUCGCACAUGGAUGAACCUUGAGAAGGUUGGGCUAGCUGAAAAACCUCACAAAGGAAUAUAUAUUAUUUGCAUUUUUUUAAUUUAAGGGCCUGGAAAAGGAAACCCACAGCCAGAGCAGAGAUUAGUGGAUGCUGUGACUAGAGAGGUGGAGAAUGGAGAAGAACUACUUACAGGUUCAGAGCAUCUUCUAAGGACGGCAAUAUUCUAGAAGUGGGAUAUGGUAAAUGCUCAUAAUAGCUUUAUCAUGAGUCUCCCUUCUCCCUGGGUCCUUAGCCACUGGCCCACAGGGACAAAGGGAACAGAGUCAAUAAACAGGGUUUCAGAUAGCCCAUGAGUAUGAAGGGAAAUUAUGUUAUUCUGGGAUCAGCUUUGGGGAGACAGGUCAACUUUAUUUGGGGUGAAUCAAGGAUUAUAUACUGUUUGGGGAGGGGGUAGGAGUAUCCAGGGUGGGCAAAGGUCAUUGGCUGAAGGCUAACAUACUGCGGUGCCUCAUUAGCCCGGGAAGACAUUCCAGGAGUCUCAGGUGUUUACAGAACAGGCUCUUACUGGAAGAAAGGAAGCUGACCCUGUAGCCUAACCAAGAAUAAGUGACAUUCCACAGGUAGAGGUGUGGGGCCUGGGAUCCCCGGGUUGAGAAGAGGAAGCCUCAUCAUUGAACAGAGUCUGACAUUCUGCACUGAGCUCAGGGCUUUCCCAUAAUGUCGUAUUUUGAUCUUAGUUUGCAGGGCAACACUUCAUGAAUAUAGCAAAACCAUUACAUUAAAUGGGUGUGUUUUAUGGCAUGUGCAGAAUUAUAGCCCAAGAAACAUAUAAAACAACUUUCCUUUUGCGGGCUGGAGCUCAGUGGAAAAGUACUAGCCUAGCCUGCUUGAGGCCCUGGGUUCAAUUUCCAAUAUCAAGGAUUUUUUUUUUCUUUUGAAUAUGGCUUAUCUAGUAAAAUCAGUAUAACUCUUUCUUUCCCUUCCGAGUAAUGAGCUGGGUGCUCUCACAGCCCCCUGUGAUGUCACUGCCUUUUAAAGUAUUUCCGCAGCUCAAGGAUAUUUAUUCAAUGUAUUCAAGUCUCAUGUCUGUUAUUGUUGGGAGCUCACGAUUGUCUGUCCAUAGUGAGGGGGUGCUAUGUCUGGUGUGACCUCAGUAGUCUUUAACAGGGUCCUCAUUUUCUGGUACAAGAUAACCAGAUGUUGCUGCCCAGGAGCUGGACUAGCCUUCUCCGGAGGCCUGGUGUCUUCUAGGGACAGACCUUUGCAAAGCAUCAAUUGAGGUCUGAAGGUGGUAAUCACUGCUCUUGGGACUGCACACAGCACUUUAGUGGGCUGAACGGGGAAAAGUGUGUUUUAGGAAGAGAAAAAUCAGCAAUCCAAAGUCCUAUUUCCAAUUCAAAUGGAUGAUUACAGUGUUCUGACUUGGGUUUGAUUCUUGUUCUUUGUUUUGUAUUUGACUGGAAACCCUGGUUUCUACUGAUACUACCAUAUACUACCAUGGUCAUUAUUUUCUCAAAUGUUUUAUAGAAGUGAUAUAAAAUAAAAAUAUCC